rnacentral:rRNA from 1 species
CAGUCGCCGCGGUAACACCGAGGGUGCGAGCGUUAAUCGGAUUUACUGGGCGUAAAGCGUGCGUAGGCGGCUUCUUAAGUCGGAUGUGAAAUCCCUGAGCUUAACUUAGGAAUUGCAUUCGAUACUGGGAAGCUAGAGUAUGGGAGAGGAUGGUAGAAUUCCAGGUGUAGCGGUGAAAUGCGUAGAGAUCUGGAGGAAUACCGAUGGCGAAGGCAGCCAUCUGGCCUAAUACUGACGCUGAGGUACGAAAGCAUGGGGAGCAAACAGGAUUAGAUACCCCAGUAGUCCCUGUCUCUUAUAC